AGUAUCGCGUAGGGAUUUAUCGUUGGGUGGGGGAUAACCGCGGGAAACUGCGGCUAAUACCGCAUGACGCCUGUGGGCCAAAGGUCGAGAGACUGCCUGAUGAGGAGCCUGCGUCCGAUUAGCUAGUAGGUUGGGUAAUGGCUGACCUAGGCUGUGAUCGGUAGCUGGUCUGAGAGGAUGAUCAGCCACACUGGGACUGGGACACGGCCCAG
rnacentral:rRNA from 1 species